CUGCCCCUGUAAAAGGCCUGCGUUGUGCGGCUCCCUGGCGCUCGGCUCUCCUGCUUCCUCUGCGCAGGGCGCGUUUCCCGCCAGUGGCUGGCCUUAAAUUCGACGGGUCGGGGCCUGCCCGACUGGGCUGGUCUCAAGAGGUGGACAGGCCAUCACUGCUGCCUUAAGCUCUGCUGGAAAGCAGCGAAGUGGGAGUGUCCUGGCCAUCUCAGGUGCAUUGGAGUGACUGACUGGGAUCACCAAAAUGACACUCCAUGCUACCCGAGCAGCCACACUCCUUUCUUGGGUAAACAGUCUACACGUGGCUGACCCAGUGGAGACAGUGUUGCAGCUCCAGGACUGUAGCAUCUUCAUUAAGAUUAUUAACACCAUCCAUAACACUGAAGAGGGGCAACAGAUUCUUCAGCAGCCAGUGCCAGAGCGACUGGAUUUUGUUUGCCGGUUUCUACAAAAAAAUUGGAAACAUCCCUUGUCUACACAAUGCCUGGUGUCUGUGCAGAAAGUGAUGGAGGGGUCUGAGAUGGAAUUGGCCAAGAUGGUAAUGCUGUUUCUAUAUCACUCCACCAUGAGCUCCAGAAAUCCACGGGACUGGGAACAGUUUGAAUAUAAGAUUCAGGCUGAGUUAGCUGUCAUCCUGAAGUUUAUGCUGGAUCAUGAGGAUUCAUUAAACCUUACUGAUGACCUAGAAAAUUUCUUGGAGAAAGUUCCUUACACCUAUUCCAGUGCUGUCUCUGAGGACCUUUCUCCACCUAGCCACCAGGCCAAGAGGAAGAUUCGCUUCCUAGAAAUACAGAAAAUUGCUUCAUCUUCCAGUGAGAACAACUUCCUCUCAGGUUCUCCAUCCUCCCCUAUGGGUGACAUCCUGCAGACCCCACAAUUCCAGAUGAGACGACUGAAGAAACAGCUGGCAGAUGAGAGGAACAACAGGGAUGAGCUGGAGCUGGAGCUAUCUGAGAGCCUCAAGCUCCUUACUGAGAAGGAUGCACAGAUAGCUAUGAUGCAGCAGCGCAUUGACCACCUAGCUCUGCUGAAUGAGAAACAGGCAGCCAGCUCACAAGAAUCCGGGGAGCUUGAGGAGCUCCGUAGUAAGAAUGAGAGCCUCACCAUGCGGCUUCAUGAGACUUUGAAGCAGUGUCAGAACCUGAAGACAGAGAAGAACCAGAUGGAUCGAAAGAUUAGCCAGCUUUCUGAGGAGAAUGGGGACCUUUCAUUUAAGGUGCGAGAGUUUGCCAGCCACUUGCAACAACUGCAGGGUGCAUUCAACGACCUGACAGAGGAGCACAACAAGGCUUCUCAGGAAUGGGCAGAGAAGCAGGCUCAUCUGGAAAAAGAGCUCAGCACAGCCCUCCAGGAUAAGAAAUAUCUCGAAGAGAAGAAUGAAAUCCUUCAGGGAAAGCUUUCCCAGCUAGAGGAACGAGCAGCUCAACUGUUGGAGAGCCCAGCCCAGGAGAAGGGCGAGGUGCUGGGCGACGCCUUGCAGCUGGAAACCCUGAAGCAAGAUGCAGCCAAACUUGCAGCAGACAAUACUCAGCUCCAAGCCCGCAUAGAGACACUGGAGUGUCAACGGGGCCAACAGGAAGCCCAGCUGCUUGCUGAGCGGGGCCACUUUGAAGAAGAAAAGCAGCAGUUGGCCAGCUUGAUUGCUGACCUGCAGAGCUCCAUCUCAAACCUCAGCCAAGCCAAGGAGGAGUUAGAGCAGGCCUCCCAGGUUCAGGGGGCUCAGCUUUCUGCCCAGGUGGCCUCUCUGAAGGCGCUCAAUACCACCCUGCAGCAGCAACAGGAUCAAGAACUUGCCAGUUUGAAAGAACAGGCCAAAAAGGAACAGGCUCAGAUGGUACAGUCCUUGCAAGAACAAGAAGAGGCUGCCCAGGGCCUCCGCCAGCAGGUGGAGCAGCUGAGCAGCAGCCUGAAGCUGAAGGAGCAGCAAUUGGAAGAGGCAGCCAAGGAGCAAGAGGCAGCCAGGCAGGAUCACGCUCAGCAACUGGCCAUUGUUGCUGAGGCUCGAGAGGCCUCUCUAAGGGAACGGGAUACUGCUCGCCAGCAGCUGGAAACAUUGGAGAAGGAGAAGGCUGCGAAGCUAGAGAGUCUGCAGCAGCAACUUGAGGCUGCUAAUGAAGCUAGGGAUAGUGUACAGACCUCAGUCACACAGGUCCAGCGGGAAAAGGCAGAGUUGAGCCAGAAGAUAGGAGAACUCCAUGCCUGUAUUGAAGCUGCCCACCAGGAACUGCGUCAGGCCCAAGCUCAUGUGACAGAGCUAGAGGCCCAGCUAAAGGCUGAGCAGCAAAAAGUAGCUGAGAGAGAAGAAGUGAUCCAGGAGAAGGCCCAGCUCCAGAAGCAGCUCCAGGCCCUUGAGGAGACUUUGAAGAUUACCAAAGAGAGCCUUGAAGAGGAGAAGCGCAGGACUGCAGAUGCCCUGGAAGAGCAGCAGCGCUUUGUCACUGAGAUGAAGGCAGAGUCCCAAAGCCUGAUGGAGCAGCGUGAGCAGGAACAGAAGGCGUUAGAACAAGAGAAGGCUGGGAGAAAGGGGCUGGAGGCCAGGUUACAGCAGCUUGAAGAGACUCAUCAGGCUAAGACUGAAGCAUUGCAGCAUGAGCUGGCAGAGGCUACAGCCUCCCAGCACAGAGCUAAGAGUGAGAGUGAGCAGCUCAUCAGGGAGGUUGAGAGCUGGCAGAAGCGGUUUGAAGCUAGACAGCAGGAGGAGGCAAGAUAUGGUGCCAUGUUCCAGGAACAGCUGAUGGCUUUGAAGGGGGACCGUGAGAAGGCUGGCCAAGAGGCACAGGAGGAGGCAGUAGAGGUCCACAGUGAGGGCCAGAAAGGCCAGCAGCACAGUCAGCUAGCCCAGCUUCAUGCCACCCUAGCCAAAGCCCUCCAGCAGGUUCAGGAAAAAGAAGUCAGGGCCCAGAGGCUGGCAGAUGAUCUCUCAACUCUGCAGGGGAAGAUGGCUUCUGCCAACAAGGUGGCAGCCUGCCUGAAGACCUUGGUGCUAAAGGCAGGUGAGCAGCAGGAAAUGACCUCACUUGAGCUGCACAAAGAGCCCAACUGGCUGGAAGAAGAGCAGCGACAGUCAUUCUCCAGCACACAAGCAGCACUAAAGGCUAUGGAGCGAGAAGCUGAGCAAGUGGGCAGUGAACUGGAGAGGCUAAGGGUAGCACUGUUAGAGAGCCAUGGCCAGCAGCAAGAGGAACGUGGGCAGCAGGAGAGGGAGCUAGCACGGCUGACCCAGGAGCGGAGCCAGGUCCAAGCUGACCUGGCUCAGGAGAAGGCAGCCAAGGCAGAGCUUGAGAUGCGGCUUCAGAACGCCCUCAACGAGCAGCGUGUGGAGUUUGCUGCCCUGCAAGAAGCACUGGCCCAUGCCAUGACGGAAAAGGAAGGCAAAGACCAGGAGCUUGCCAAACUUCGUGGGCAAGAGGCAGCUCAAAGAACAGAGCUGAAGGAGCUUCAGCAGACUUUGGAACAGCUGAAAACACAGUUAGUCGAGAGAGAAAAAGAGCAGCACCUUGUAGGGAAAAGUGGUGGAGAAGACACUUCUGGCCCAGAAGCCCCGUUGGAGACAGUUAGAAAGACAGAGGCGCCAGGCCCUGAACUGGAGGCACUUCGGGCACAGGUCAGCAAGCUGGAGCAGCAGUGCCAGCAGCAGCAGCAACAGGUUACAGACCUGACACACAGCCUGGAGUCUGAGCGUGCUUCCCGGGCUGAGCGGGACAAAGCCCUAGAGACCCUACAGGGCCAGUUAGAGGACAAGGCUCAGGAACUAGGGCACAGUCAAGCUGCCUCAGCUUUAGCUCAGAGAGAAUUGACAGCCCUCCGUGCCAAAGCCCAGGACCAUAGCAAAGCUGAGGAAGAGUGGAAGGCCCAGGUGGCCCGUGGCCAGCAGGAGGCUGAGAGAAAAAGUAGUCUUAUCAGCAGCUUGGAAGAGGAGGUAUCCAUCCUGAACCGCCAAGUCCUAGAGAAGGAAGGGGAGAGCAAGGAGUUGAAGCGCCUGGUUGUAGCUGAAUCAGAGAAAAGCCAGAAGCUGGAAGAGAGGCUGCGUCUGCUUCAGGUAGAAACAGCCAGCACUAAUGCCAGGGCAGCAGAGCGCAGCUCAGCUCUACGAGAGGAGGCACAGAGCCUCCAGGAGGAGGUAGAGAAACAGCGUGUAAUUUCGGAGAACUUGCGGCAAGAGCUGGCCUCACAGGCAGAGCGAGCUGAGGAACUGGGCCAGGAAUUGAAGGCCUGGCAGGAGAAGUUCUUCCAAAAGGAGCAAGCACUCUCUGCUCUGCAGCUGGAGCAUACCAGCACACAGGCCCUGGUAAGCGAGCUGCUGCCUGCCAAGCACCUUUGUCAGCAGCUGCAGGCUGAGCAGGCAGCUGCAGAGAAGCGCCACCGGGAAGAGAUAGAGCAGAGCAAGCAGGCAGCUGGUGGGCUUCGGGCAGAGCUAAUGCGGGCACAGCGGGAGCUUGGGGAGCUAGGGCCUUUGCGGCAGAAGGUGGCUGAGCAGGAGCGAGCAGCCCAGCAGCUGCGGGCAGAGAAGGCCAGCUAUGCAGAACAGCUGAGCAUGCUGAAGAAGGCUCAUGGGCUGUUGGCAGAGGAGAACCGGGGUCUGGGAGAGCGGGCCAACCUUGGCCGGCAGUUUCUGGAAGUAGAGCUAGAUCAAGCCCGGGAGAAGUAUGUCCAGGAGUUGGCAGCUGUGCGUACUGAUGCUGAGACCCAUCUGGCUGAAAUGCGGCAAGAAGCACAGAGUACUACCCGGGAACUGGAGGUUAUGACUGCCAAGUAUGAAGGUGCCAAGGAGAAGGUCCUAGAGGAAAGGCAAAGGUUCCAAGAAGAGAGGCAGAAACUCACCGCCCAGGUGGAGCAACUAGAGGUAUCUCAAAGAGAGCAAACUAAGCAGGUGGAAGAACUGAGUAAGAAGUUGACAGAUUAUGAUCAAGCCAGCAAGGUGCAGCAACAGAAGCUCAAGGCUUUUCAGGCUCAGGGAGGUGAGAGCCAGCAGGAGGUCCAGCGCCUCCAGGCCCAGCUGAAUGAGCUACAGGCCCAGCUAAGCCAGAAGGAGCAGGCAGCUGAGCAUUACAAGCUACAGAUGGAGAAAGCCAAGACCCAUUAUGAUGCCAAGAAGCAGCAGAACCAAGAGCUGCAGGAUCAACUUCGAGACUUGGAGCAGCUGCAGAAGGAGAACAAGGAGCUUCGGGCUGAAGCUGAACGUCUAGGACGUGAGCUGCAGCAGGCAGGGCUAAAGACUAAGGAGGCUGAACAGGCCUGUCGCCACCUUAGUGCCCAGGUGCGGAGCCUGGAGGCACAGGUUGCCCAUGCAGAUCAGCAGCUUCGAGACUUGGGCAAAUUCCAGGUGGCAACUGAUGCCUUAAAGAGCCGUGAGCCUCAGAAACCCCAGCUGGACUUAAGUAUUGACAGCCUGGAUCUGAGCUUGGAGGAGGGAACCCCAUGCAGUGUUGCUAGCAAGCUGCCUUGUACCCAGCCAGAUGGCACCAGUGUCCCUGGAGAGCCAGCUUCACCCAUCUCCCAGCGCCUGCCACACAAAGUAGAAUCCCUGGAAAGUCUCUAUUUCACCCCCAUUCCUGCUCGGGGUCAGGCCCCCUUGGAGAGCAGCCUGGACUCCUUGGGGGAUGUCUUCCCUGACUCUGGCCGUAAGACUCGCUCUGCUCGCCGGCGUACCACACAAAUCAUCAAUAUUACCAUGACCAAGAAAUUAGAUGUGGAAGAACCAGACAGCGCCAACUCAUCCUUCUAUAGCACGCAGUCUGCCCCUGCUUCCCAAGCCAAUUUGAGAGCCACCUCCUCUACCCAGUCUCUGGCCCGCUUGGGCUCUCCAGAUGAUGGCAACUCCGCUCUACUUAGCCUGCCUGGCUACCGGCCUACCACUCGAAGCUCUGCUCGUCGCUCCCAGGCCAGGAUGUCCAGUGGUGCCCCCCAAGGAAGGAACAGCUUCUAUAUGGGUACUUGCCAGGAUGAGCCUGAGCAGCUGGACGAUUGGAACCGCAUUGCUGAGUUGCAGCAGCGCAACCGAGUGUGUCCUCCACACUUGAAGACCUGCUAUCCUCUUGAGUCCAGGCCUUCCCUGAAUCUGGCAACCAUCACUGAUGAGGAGAUGAAAACCGGAGACCCCCAGGAAACUUUACGCCGAGCCAGCAUGCAGCCAACCCAAAUCGCUGAGGGUGCGGGCAUCACUACCAGGCAGCAGCGCAAACGGGUCUCCUCGGAGACCCACCAGGGUCCUGGCACUCCUGAGUCCAAGAAGGCUACCAGCUGCUUUCCACGCCCCAUGACUCCCAGGGACCGGCAUGAAGGACGGAAGCAGAGCAGCACUGCUGUAGCCCAGAAGAAAGCAGCUCCAGUUGUUCUGAAACAGACCUUCCCCUACAGGCGGACCGGCGACAGUCAAUGGCCUUCAGCAUCCUUAACACACCUAAGAAGCUGGGAAAUAGUCUUCUAAGGCGAGGAGUUUCAAAGAAGACCCCAGCAAAGGUCUCACCCAAUACUCACAGUGGUACCCGCCGUUCUCCACGCAUUGCCACCACCACAGCUGCCGCUGCCACUGCUACCCCUCGGGCCAAGGGCAAGGCAAAGCAUUAAAGAGAGUCAACACCAGUGCGUGUGUGUGGCCCUACCUGUGUCCUCAGCACUGACCUUGUCCUUUUCCUUCUACUGUCCUUCUCAGUGCCUUCUCUGAGCUCCCAGGCCAAUGGUGGCCAGCCC